rnacentral:rRNA from 2 species
GCGGCAACAGCUCAAAUUUGAAAUCUGGCGUAAGCCCGAGUUGUAAUUUGUAGAGGAUGCUUCUGGGUAGCGACCGAUCUAAGUUCCUUGGAACAGGACGUCAUAGAGGGUGAGAAUCCCGUAUGUGACCGGCCCGCACCCUUUACGUAGCUCCUUCGACGAGUCGAGUUGUUUGGGAAUGCAGCUCUAAAUGGGAGGUAAAUUUCUUCUAAAGCUAAAUACCGGCCAGAGACCGAUAGCGCACAAGUAGAGUGAUCGAAAGAUGAAAAGUACUUUGGAAAGAGAGUUAAAAAGCACGUGAAAUUGUUGAAAGGGAAGCGCCUGCAACCAGACUUCGUGGCAGUGUUCCGCCGGUCUUCUGACCGGUUUAUUCUCUGUCGCGAGGCCAUCAUCGUCUAGGCCCGCCGGAUAAGACCUUAGGAAUGUAGCUCACCUUCGGGGGAGUGUUAUAGCUUAUGGUGAUGCGGCGAGGCUUGGGCGAGGUCCGCGCUUCGGCAAGGAUGAUGGCGUAAUGGUUGUCGGCGGCCCGUCUUGAAACACGGACCAAGGAGUCUAACAUCUAUGCGAGUGUUCGGGUGUCAAACCCCUACGCGUAAUGAAAGUGAACGGAGGUGGGAACCGCAAGGUGCACCAUCGACCGAUCCUGAUGUCCUCGGAUGGAUUUGAGUAAGAGCAUAGCUGUUGGGACCCGAAAGAUGGUGAACUAUGCCUGAAUAGGGUGAAGCCAGAGGAAACUCUGGUGGAGGCUCGCAGCGGUUCUGACGUGCAAAUCGAUCGUCAAAUUUGGGUAUAGGG